ACAGUAUUGACAUCGGGAGAAAAGUCUGGUCACCCUUAUAGGAAAGAAGAUUGUAUUUUACAUGAGGCAAAAACAAGAAAAAUAAUUGUCAAAUCUCAUCUCAAUAGCAAUAAGUAACAUUAAAGCCCUUCUAGCAAUAUUAAAAUGGGAGAGGUCACUGCAUUAAUGUCUCAGCAAGCCUCACCAGGAAAGCGUAAUGAACAUCAAGGGCACUGAAACGACAGGAGAUGAUCUAAUGCAGGAAGCUCCCCAAAUACUAUAUUUAUACAAAUGAUAAAUAGGUUUCAAGAAAGGAGAAACCAACUAAUGUUGAUGACUAGGGAAAUAAAUAAUAUUAGAACUUUACACUGCAGUAGCAUCUUUCAUCUGGGAUCCUAAAAAGCUUUAAGAGUAAUUAAAUUUGGGUGCUGCAUCAAAGUAGACCCAUUUUUAAAACAAAAAUAUGGAUUUUAUGCCCUUCAGCAGAUGUAGCACUGAAUAGUCUCACAGAUAAUGAAACAAAACCUGGAGAUUAUUUUCUCUUGAAGAAUGUUUUAUCAUUGUUUCCAAGGUUCUAAAUUUGUAACUAGCUGAGUCUUACGGAAAUGCAGGGUGGAGCCACAUUUCUUUCUAUAUAUUGGAAAAGAGGCAGCAGUUUCAGCCCAGGUGGAGUGUGUGGGGAUUGGGGGUUAGAAGCAGUCCCCAUGGAAAACCCACCUAGGGAACAGGAAGCAAACAUUGGGUCGCCCUUGACAUAUGAAAAAAUGACAUGACAUUUGGAAAGCAUCCAUCUGUGUCAAACUCUGUUCUGGUUUUCAAGUAUCAUUGUUGGAGUGCCUCUGAGUCUCAAAAGCCUUCUGUGUUUCACAUUGUUUCCGUGUCAGAGACAAGUCCAUGUUUAGUUACUUGGGAGCAAGCCUCCAUUCCUGGUUGGUGGUCUCAGUAUGCUACCAGAUCUUGCCAUCUUACCAUUUGAAGCUCCUGUGACCAUGUUGAACCCACUCGCAACCUGGGUGUGUCUGUGGGAAGCCUGCAUCUCACAGGGACAUUAACACCCCUGCUGGGAGACUUAGCGAUUCAGACAGGAAGUUUCAUCCUCAAAAUCAAGUCUCAUAUGCACCCUUCCAUGUUCCACUGUGCCUUCAAGAUGUGUGAAUCAGCUUGCUGCUUCGGCAGCAGAACGUGGAGACAGCUUUCCACCCCCGGUUUUCCACGGGGCAAUACACGGACCAUCGUGUGAGCUGGCGGUGCAGAAGCAUAAAGCUCCUUGGCCAUCAUUCCGUUCACAAUCAUUCCGUUCACAACAGGGCCAUGCUGCAUCUGGGGAAAGGCCGGUGAUCAUGUGAGCAUGAGUGGUCAUGGUCUAUAAGGAGGAUACAAAAGAAUCUCGGAAAUAGACACCAUUUAUUCACCAGUUCCUACUAGAAGAAAUAAGUUUUGAGCCCUUCAACUAAAAUAAUGUGAAGAAAUAUUCCUGAAGUUAGAUAGGCAGAGGAUUAGGAAUGUGGGAAGAUGCUUGACUGAAGGUUCAACCGAUCUCCUGUGUUUAAUUUAUUAAUAUGGAGUUCUAGCUGGGCAUCUGAUACUCAAAGACAAGGGAACAAAGCUUCACAGCCUGUUACAGCUUUGGACUUGGCCCAGGCUCAUGCCCAUCUCCAAAGCGGUCAAGUCCUAUUUGUCCUAUAAGAAGCACCUGCUGGCCAGGAGCAGUGGCUCACACUUGUAAUCCCAGCACUUUGAGGGGCCAAGGCAGACAGAUCACGAGGUCAGGAGUUCGAGACCAGCCUGGCCAACACAGUGAAACCCUGUCUCUACUAAAAAUAUGAAAAUUAGCUGGGCGUGGUGGCGGGAGCCUGUAAUCCCAGCUACUUGGGAGGCUGAGGCAGGAGAAUCGCUUGAACCCGAGAGGCAGAGGUUGCAGUAAGCUGAGAUCGUACCGCUGCACUCCAGCCUGGGUGACAGAGCGAGACUCCACCUCAAAAAAAAAAGAUGCACCCGCCGUUGACAACCUCCCCAGGCUUCUCAUCUAUGAGUCAUCCACCCUCCCCAAACUCCUCACCAUUUAUACAUGCCUCCCUCGAGACCCUCAUCCCUGUGUCCAUUCAAUUUUAGCAGUUUAUGUACACGUCAUAUCCUCUUUUCAAUCAGAAGUAACUCGAGGGCCCUCGCAUUUUGGCUCGUAUAUACUAAGUACUCAGUAAACACCUUGGAAAAUGAGUGAAUGGCUGUUUAAUACCUAUUAAAAUACAGAGACCAAACGUACACUCGCCCCUCCGGAUCUCACUUGGGGAGCAGUGCCUUUGUGCUCAGGAGGGCUGCCAUGUUCCUAAAUACUUCGGAAUACACAGAAUUCUGGUAUGCUUUCUAGAGACCAGAUAUACCCAAGCUUCAGCCCAAUUUCAGUUUUUAAAAACAGGAUCAAGAGGGCCAGAUGUGGUGGCGCAUGCCUGUGAUCCCAGCAUUUUGAGAGGCCUUGGAGGGCAGAUCACCUGAGGUCAGGAGUUCGAAACCAGCCUGUCCAAAAUGGUGAAACCCCAUCUCUACUAAAAAUACAAAAAUUAGCUGGGUGUGGUGGUGCACACCUGUAAUCACAGCUACUCAAGAGGCUGAGGCACAAGAGUGGCUUCAACCUGGGAGGCAGAGGUUGCAUUGAGCUGAGAUUUUACCACUGAACUCCAGCCUGGGUGACAGAGUGAGACUCUGUUUCAAAAAAAAAAAAAAAAACAAAACAAAACAAAAAACAGGAUCAAGAUUUACGCCUUCCUGAAGAAGUUGAGUCUGGGGUCACAGUCAUUAGUAUCAUGCUUCAUAAUGACCUUAAGCCUCUUUCAAGUGUGUGAUAUUCUAUUAGGUUGAUGCAAAAGUAAUUGCGGUUUUUGCCAUUCUUUUUUUUUUAAAAAAAAGGCAAAAACCGCAAUUACUUUUGCAUCAACCUAAUAUAUGCACAGUUUCAUAAGCUCUCUGAGGGCAGGACUUCUGUCUAUUCUGUUGAUGUUAUUGUUACCCACACACACUACCUUGUAAGGAAGUCUGCCCACACUGGGCAAACAUUAACUAUUGACUAAGCGUAUCAUUUUAUUUUAACACAAUUAGGAAGCCCUGCAUUCCAAGGAACCCCUUUAGCCAAAAGCUGCUGAGUUAGGUCACCAGACUCAGCACACACCUUUUCUAAUCUGCUUCUUCAGUCCCUAUGAGCCAUACAAUGCAUUCUCUCCUGCCUAGAGUUGGCAAUUUCAAUUAUUUCUUUUCCAGAAAGAAAUAAAAGUGUCUGGACUGAAAUAGAUUUCCCUGUUUGGAAACUAAUGCAGUGAGGGGUCUAUUUGUUACAAACACUGAUAGGCAGCCUUCUCCACAGAGGUGAGCCGUCCUUUCCCAUGGGCUCCUCUUUGCUCCUUCCUCUACAGGAAUCCAUCUACUCUGGUUCAUGUACAGAAGGUUACUGUGGUUUUUCCAGGAAACUGCUGCCUGAUGAGGGAGGCAAAUUUUCUGUGUACAAAUUUGAGGACCAUUUGUGCAGAAACAGACAUAAGUAACAGAAUAUAAGCCAUAUUAAUGUUUUUAUGACUAUACUUGGGCCUUCUCAACAAUGGUUAAGUGUUGCCAAACUAGCUUUACUUAGUGUUGGCAGGACAGGAGCUGUAAUAUAUAGUUCUUUUUGUCUUGGCAAUAAGUCUGGCACUCCUGCCAGAAUCUACUCUAAAGGAAAUGAACCAGAGACAAUAAGUCCAUUCAAAUGCACUAGCGAUUUCUUCCAGCAGGGAUUUUUCAAUUUCUAAGUUGAUACAAAUUUUAAAACCACCUAUUUUAAGUAGGGAGUGGGAGUUUUAUUUUCCAAAAGAAGAUGUUAUAUUUACCAAUGUAUUUCUGACAUCUGUCCGCAACAAGAAAUAUUAUAGUGCCAGGUAAUUGAGAAGGUGUCAGAACAAAACAAACAUAAAACAAACAAAAACAGAGAGAGAUGUAUUCCUUUCAAAAGGAUGUAAACACAAAAUAUAAUUGAUGGGCUUCAUUCAGUCAGCCGUUUAAUUUGCGGUGUUUAAGUACUUACAUAAAAUGACAUUACUGCUGUGCUAUUGUCUCGCUGGUUCCAUGCAUUUUAUUUAUGACCAUGUGUCUUUGUGAGUGAAUAAAAAAAUGUGGAGUUGCUAGCAGCAAACCUUACACAUUUCAAAACCCAAAACCAAGAAAUCCUUGAAGGACCACCUAUAAAAAAAAACUUUGUUAACACAAGGUUCAAUAUUUGCCUGGGUUGGCACAAUCCUACUUGGAGGGGAAAAAGGAGGCGGAUUUUUCUGGCUUUAGGAGGCGGGAUUUCAGGUAAACCACUGUGAAGGUGCCUGUCUACGCCUCUGAAUUCUAGAGCCUAGAGCCCCCUGCUGGCUGAAGGAGGAAGAGACCUGAAUGGACCCGAUGGCCAUCAUUUCAAACUCCUCAUUUUCCCCCCAGGUCAUUCAUUCAUGCAGCAAAUAUUCGUUGAGGCUUGCUCUGUGCCAGGCACUGUUCUAGGCUCUGGGGAUAAUCUGUUCAACAAAACAUACAGGUCUUUGCCUUACUGGAGUUUACACUGCAAAAAAAGAAUUCAAAUGGCCGGACGCGGUGGCUCACACCUGUAAUCCCAACACUUUGGGAGGCCGAGGCGGACGGAUCACCUGGGGUCAGGAGCUCGAGACCAGACUGGCUAGCAUUGCAAAACCCCAUCUCUACUAAAAAUACAAAAAAUUAGCCGGGCGUGAUGGUGCACACCUUUAGUCCCAGCUACACGGGAGGCUGAGGCAGGAGAGUCACUUGAACCCCAGGAGGCAGAGGUUGCAGUAAGCCAAGAUCACGCCAUUGCACCCUGGGCGACACAGCAAGACUUCAUCUCAAAAAAAAAAAGGAAAAGAAAACCAAAUAACCAUAAACUAUAAUGUCACAUAGAAAUUGAUACUAACAGAUAAACUAUGAAUCACAGCACAGCAGGGAGAGGAAGUAAAGAGUGAUGGGAGGAUGAUGUAUUUUUAGACAGAAGAACUGAAUAAAUAAAAUGAAGAAGAGGGAGAAAUUGGUAGGAGGGGCUUCCAGGAAAGGGGCGGAGCGAGUGUGAGAGCUGGGCGGGGGUCAGGGAGUGCACGGAGCAGUUAGCAGUGCAGAAGGCCCCGGUAGCUGAGCGAUGAACCGAAACUUAAAAAUGAGCUGAGCCCAAUGAUGCGGAGCCUUACAUGGUAAGAAUUUUGGAUUUUACAGUAAUCCACGGAGAGGCUUGAACAGAGAAUUAACUAAAUUUGCUUUCCAUUCUAAAUAGACCAUUCUGUGUGCAACAAGAACUAACUGCGAGUGUGAAAUCUGAGAGGCCCAUUUUGGAGGCUACUGCCAUCAUAUUUCAAACAAUUCAAUCAAUGAAUUUCACCAAACUGAAAUUCCUGCUGUUUACAACAAGGUUCAGAGAAGAAUAAAAUAUCUUGGUCUCUGCCCUCAGAGAGCUUUCAAUCAACUUGGGAAAAUAAGAUAGGCACACUUCAAAUUAAACUUACGAGAGACAGUGAAGGAUUGUUCUGGCUUGUACACAAGAGCAAUAAUAAUGAAGAUGAAAAAGGUGGUGUCACCAGCAGCCAAGCACCAGCUUGAGGCAGUUUAGCUUCAUGGUUAAGAGCACAAGCGCUAGAGCCAGGCUGCUGGGGUUCAGAAUUCUGGUGUCAUUUACUAGCUGUGUGACCUCUGGCAUGUGCCUUGGUUUUCUCUGUGCCUCAGUUUUAUGACCUGUAGAAUGGAUCUAAUAAUAGGACCUUCCUUAUAGGGUUGGUAUGAGGAAUAAAUGUGUGUCAAUGUUGUGUAGAAGGUGUUUACAUCAGUGUUAGGUAAUUUACCAAAACUACUCAAAAGGAAGAAAUGUCUCCGAAAUCAUUAUUACUGCAGUAGGUCAGAUGUGGUGUGAUAGUGACUUACAUAUCAGUUGUGGAAACAAAAUAAAAGGGGCAGUAUUUCUGGAAGGUUAACUUAGAAGGUUUGAUGACAACAAGAUGGUAAAUGAAGCAUACAAAGGGGUUCAAGAUGAACAUGAGAUCUCAAGCGUAAUGAUUAGGAAAACAGUAGAAAGGAGAGAAAAAGAGAAUUCAGGAUGGGAAAUUGGUUUGAGAGGCAGGGCAGGUUGGAUUUCAGGCAUACUGAGUUUGAAGUGGACAAGUGAUUAGAAAUGUCAGACUAGGGCUCAGAAGAGAGAUCAAGGGUAUCCUUAUGGAUUGGAACCUCUUCCUUUGGGGGCUAUCUUUGAAGCCAUGGAGAUGACAGAUAACUAAGACAGAAGUGGCUGAAAAAAAAGAGCUCUAAGAAUGAAAUUUAGGAGACAUGACCAUAGUUAUGGAUUAGAAAAGAGGCUGAAGAGGCCGGGCAUGGUGGCUCAUGCCUGUAAUCCCAGCACUUUGGGAGGCCUAGGCAGGCGGGUCACCUAAGGUGAAGAGUUCAAGAUCAGUGUGGCCAACAUGGUGAAACUCCAUCUCUACUAAAAAAAAAAAAAAAAAAAAAAAAAAAAAUACAAAAAUUAGCCGGGUACAGUGGCAGGUGCCUGUAAUCCCAGCUACUAGGGAGGCAGAGGCAGGAGAAUUGCUUGAACCUGGGAAGCGGACAUUGCGGUGAGCCGAGAUCACGCCACUGCACUCCAGCCUGGGCAACAGAGUGAGAUUCUAUCUCAAAAAAAAAAAAAAAGAAAAAGGAAAAGAGGCCAAAGAGAGGAAAGCAUCAGAAAAUCAGGAAGAGACAUGUUAUUUUAGCAAAAAUAUUGAGAAAGAUGGAAAAGCCACUGUCAAACACUACUAAGAGAUAAAGGAUAACUAAGUAUGCCUUUGGAGGAGAUCAUUAAGAAGUCAUUGAUGGGCCAGGCAGGUGGCUCAUGCCUGUAAUCCAUCCCAGCACUUUGCGAGGCCGAGGCGGGUGGAUCACCUGAGGUCAAGAGUUCGAGACCAGCCUGGCCAAUAUGGUGAAAUGCUGUCUCUACUAAAACUAUAAAAAUUAGCAGAGUGUGAUGGUGCCCGCCUAUAAUGCCAACUACUUGGGAGGCUGAGGCAGGAGAAUCUCUUGAACCCGGGAGGCGGAGGUUGCAGUGAGCUGAGGUCAAGUUACUGCACUCCAGCCUGGGUGACAGAGCCAGACUCUGUCUCAAGGAAAAAAAAAAAAAAGUCAUUGAUGGCAUCAAGAAAGAGUUUCUCAAGUGCAGCUUAUCCUAAGGGUCUCUGCUAAAUGUUUGUCAUGAAUGCUGUGCUGUGCCACCCAGAUUUCUCCAUCAGGACCCAAGGUGCUGUCUCCCCGGGGAGGGUUGUAAGCUGACAGCUCCCAGCGGCUCGGCUGAGGAAAGCCAUCUUGCCCAAGGUCGUGCCCGCAUCCUGGGGCAGCCUGCAGCAAUGGCUGGUUGACUUCGGGGUAUAAAAGCCCAGUUUCUUCCCAAAAAGGGACAACUCAAAAGGGCCAUUCCAGGUUUCGAGCCAUGGAGUCAGCUAGGGCUGAGUCACAACACACUGUGACUGCACUGCCGCCAGCCUCCCCUUCCCCACACAGCGUUGACGCCAGUGAGAAGAAAAGACCCCCAGGACACUUUAAGCAGCAAUGCCAAUCUCUGAGUCGGGAUCUGCUUCCCCAGGAACCCAGAGGCCACAAUGUAUUAGAAAAUUCAAUAAAAAUAAAAAUGAUAACAUCAGGGAAGAGUUUUGGCACAAAGAGAUCAAUAUAGCAUUUAACAGGCCAGGUGCAGUGGUUCAUGCUUGUCAUCCUAGCAAUUUGGGAGGCUGAGGCACGUGGAUCACUUGAGUUCAGAAGUUCAAGACCAGCCUGGCCAACAUGGUGAAACCCCCAUCUCUACUAAAUUACAAAAAUUAGCCAGGAGUGGUGGUGCAUGCCUGUAAUCCUAGCUACUUGGGAGACUGAGGCACAAGGAUCACUUGAACCCAGGAGGCAAAGGUUACGGUGAGCUGAGAUCGCCCACUGCACUCCAGCCUGGGCAACAGAGCAACACUGUGGAAAAAAAAAAGAAAGAAAGAAAGAGAGAAAGAGAGAGAGGGAGAGAGGGAGGGAGGGAGGGAGGAAGGGAGGAAGGAGGGAAGGGAGAAAGAAAACACAAAGAAAUAGUAUUUAACAGAUAAAUAAAAAUAGUUCCUUAGAAAUAGAAAUUCUGAAAUUGAAAGGGUCAAAUUGAGGGAAGUGAAUAGGAAUGGGCUUUUCUCCAGGACCCCAAACCUAUCAGACUUGCAAAAAAUGAGAUGGUGCCAUUUACCUUUGGUGAAAAUAGAGUGCUGGGUUUCCUAACCCGAUUGAUGGUGCUGUCACCGUAUAACCUCACAAUCUCUUUUAAUCUCUGCACUCUUGUCACUUUGCUGCCAUCUGGAGAGAGGAUUAAUUUGAUUUGUCCCCCAAGGAGAUUAAUGUAUCUGAUUGGAUUCCAGCACACGGAGGGAUACCAUUCUCUAACCCAUCAGCACUGUCCAUGGCCAGGGUGCAAAAGCCCAUCCCACUUCUCCCAAGAAAGAAGCAGCUCUGAGGAUCCCGAGACACUGUGGAGAUGAUGCUUGCAAAGUUCACUUUCACAUUGCGCUGUCUUUCUAGCCUUCCCAGUGUUGAAAUAUCUCUCCAUACGCCCAGUGGACCUUCCCAUAGCCUAUGGGGGUGGGGCAGGGGAAAUUCACUGCUUAAGAAAAAGAAUGUUCUUUCAUGCAACCAAAUGUACUAUCCAACCCCUCAGAUGCUUGGAAAGGCAGGGAUCAUGCCUGUUUGUUUACCUCUGUACCCCAAGAAACCAGCAAAGUGCCUGAACACACAGAAAGUGCUUGAUUGUUGAAUAAAUGAUCUAAAAACUGGUGCUAGGUGGAUCACGAAUGAAGUAAAAGAAACAAUCAGUAAAUAUAAAUGAUAAAGAUGGCUAGAGACAGUUUGGCUCUGUGUAAAUUAUGACUAAGUUGGAGUCCUCUUCCGGUCACCUCAGUGAAUGUCUCAGUGAUCCAGUUGCCCAUGGUAGAUACUUAAGAAAAGCUCUUUGGACUGAAUUAAACUACAAUAAAACCUCAUUGGUGGAAGCCCAAAUAAAAAAGCAUAUUCAUUGGUGCAAAUACUUCAGAAGAAGGGACAUUAUUCAUUAUUCAGCACAAGGAUAUGAGAGUGACGAGGAAGAGAAAGACAGGGACAAUUUUUAACAAUGAGAAGAAAGGAAUCCAAAGGUGGGGAGUCUAAGGAAAAUGAUCGAUUAUCCACAUUAAUGGAACUAUUCGGUUUAAAGCUUCAAGAAUUGGCCUGAGGGACCACCAUGAAAUUUGCUAUCUCAAUUAAUCCUUGCAAAGUGAAAAUAAUACAUGUUAGCUGUUCUCACCAUUCUAAGGACUUUACAUGUAUCCUCAUUUGAUCCUCUCAAGAACUCUGUGUGUUAAGUUUGCCAGUACUGCCAUCCCCAUUUUACAGAUGAGGAAACUGAGGUCUAGAGAACUUAAGUGACUUGCCCAAGGUGGCACAGCUGGUAAGUGCAGCCAUGGGUCUUCGAACCUGGACAGUCUGACUCCAAGGCCAUGCUCUUAACCUGUUCACUGUAUCACCUCCUGCAAGGACAAACAUUCCACCUUCUUUUCCCCUCUUCAACCCACAGGUGACCAACUUCGGAGUAUGCAUAUCAACCAUCAGCAUCAAUGGUGACCAAGAAAAACAGGCUAACAUUGACCUAUAAGUGUUUACUCUUCCAGAAUAAAAGGGGUCCUUAAAAAUGCAAAAUAUUUUAUGUAAGAUACAAAAUGAUCUGUCAAUAAAACAGGCACUGACUCCAU
rnacentral:lncRNA from 1 species